GCUUGCUAGCAGGCGUCGAGUGGCGGACGGGUGAGUAACGCGUAGGAAUCUGCCCAGUUGUGGGGGAUAGCCCAGGGAAACUUGGAUUAAUACCGCAUACGCCCUACGGGGGAAAGCGGGGGAUCUUCGGACCUCGCGCAAUUGGAUGAGCCUGCGUCAGAUUAGCUUGUUGGUGGGGUAAUGGCCUACCAAGGCGACGAUCUGUAGCUGGUCUGAGAGGAUGAUCAGCCACACUGGAACUGAGACACGGUCCAGACUCCUACGGGAGGCAGCAGUGGGGAAUAUUGGACAAUGGGCGCAAGCCUGAUCCAGCAAUACCGCGUGUGUGAAGAAGGCCUGAGGGUUGUAAAGCACUUUUAUGAGAGAAGAAAAGUUAAUGGUUAAUAGCCAUUAACCCUGACGGUAUCUCAAGAAUAAGCACCGGCUAACUCCGUGCCAGCAGCNGNCGGUAAUA
rnacentral:rRNA from 1 species